rnacentral:rRNA from 1 species
AAUAGAUACCCGGGUAGUCCACGCCCUAAACGAUGUAUACUGGCUUCAGGGACUUCUGACAGUUUCUGGAGCGUAGGGAAACCGUUAAGUAUACCGCCUGGGAAGUACGGUCGCAAGAUUAAAACUCAAAGGAAUUGACGGGGGCUCACACAAGCGGUGGAGCAUGUGGCUUAAUUCGAAGCAACGCGAAGAACCUUACCUAGGUUUGACAUGUUUGGAUGUUGCUCUGGAAACAGAGUUAACUGCCUUCGGGUGAAACUUACACAGGUGCUGCAUGGUUGUCGUCAGCUCGUGCCGUGAGGUGUUGGGUUAAGUCCCGUAACGAGCGAACCCUUGCUGUUAGUUGCCAGCGAGUAAUGUCGGGCACUCUAACAGGACUGCCGGCGUUAAGCCGGAGGAAGGUGGGGACGGACGCCAAAUACAUCAUGGCCUUUUAUGCCUAGGGAUGCACACGUGCUACAAUGCCUGGUACAAAUCGACGCUUAGCCGCGAGGUGAAGCAAAUCGACAAAAAACCGACGGCCCGACGUUCAGAUUACAGUCUGCAACACGAC